UACGUAGAGGGCAAGCGUUGUCCGGAUUCAUUGGGCGUAAAGAGCGUGUAGGCGGCCAGGUAGGUCGGUUGUGAAAACUGGAGGCUCAACCUUCAGAGGUCGACCGAAACCAUCUGGCUAGAGUCCGGGAGAGGAGAGUGGAAUUCCUGGUGUAGCGGUGAAAUGCGCAGAUAUCAGGAAGAAUAUCCGUGGCGAAGGCGGCUCUCUGGGACGGUACUGACGCUGAGACGCGAAAGCGUGGGGAGCGAACAGG
rnacentral:rRNA from 1 species